rnacentral:rRNA from 1 species
AAUGAACGUUGGCGGCGUGGAUUAGGCAUGCAAGUCGCGCGAUUUCCUUCGGGGAAGAGCGGCGGAAGGGAGAGUAACGCGUAGAUACCUACCCUCGGGACCGGAAUAGCGGCGGGAAACUGUCGGUAAUGCCGGAUAACGUCCCUGGACCAAAGGUGUGAAUCCGCCUGAGGAGGGGUCUGCGUCCUAUUAGCUAGUUGGCGGGGUAACGGCCCACCAAGGCGAAGAUGGGUACCGGGCGUGAGAGCGUGACCCGGCUCACUGGGACUGAGACACUGCCCAGACACCUACGGGUGGCUGCAGUCGAGAAUCUUCGGCAAUGAGCGCAAGCUUGACCGAGCGACGCCGCGUGCGGGAUGAAGGCUUUCGGGUUGUAAACCGCUGUCAGUGGGGAGGAAAUUCUUGGGGGUACUCCCCCUUGAUUGACCGAUCCGCAGAGGAAGGACGGGCUAAGUUCGUGCCAGCAGCCGCGGUAACAC